rnacentral:rRNA from 1 species
GACGAACGCUGGCGGCGUGCCUAAUACAUGCAAGUAGGACGCAGUUGCGAACGGGUGAGUAACGCGUAGGUAACUACCUAUUAGAGGGGGAUAACUAUUGGAAACGAUAGCUAAUACCUCAUACUAGUAGAUGGCCCUCCGUUGUAUUAGCUAGUAGGUAGGGUAAUGGCCUACCUAGGCAACGAUACAUAGCCGACAUGAGAGGGUGAGCGGCCAAACUGGGACUGAGACACGGCCCGGACGACUGCGGGAGGCAGCAGUAGGGAAUCUUCGGCAAUGGGGGGAACCGUGACCGAGGAACGCCGCGUGAAUGAAGAAGGUGUUCGGAUCGUAAGGAUCAGUUGUUAAGGAAGCGGUACUUAACCAGAAAGGGACGGCUAACUACGUGCCAGCAGCCGCGGUAAUUC